AGAGCACUCUAAAGAGACUGCCGGUGACAAACCGGAGGAAGGUGGGGAUGACGUCAAGUCCUCAUGGCCCUUAUGGGUAGGGCUUCACACGUCAUACAAUGGUGCAUACAGAGGGUUGCCAACCCGCGAGGGGGAGCUAAUCUCAGAAAAUGCAUCGUAGUCCGGAUCGUAGUCUGCAACUCGACUACGUGAAGCUGGAAUCGCUAGUAAUCGCGGAUCAGAAUGUCGCGGUGAAUACGUUCCCGGGUCUUGUACACACCGCCCGUCACACCAUGGGAGUG
rnacentral:rRNA from 1 species